CAGUAGCCACGGUAAUACGUAGGUGGCAAGCGUUGUCCGGAAUUAUUGGGCGUAAAGGGCUAGCAGGCGGUUUCUUAAGUCUGAUGUGAAAGCCCCCGGCUCAACCGGGGAGGGUCAUUGGAAACUGGGAAACUUGAGUGCAGAAGAGGAGAGUGGAAUUCCACGUGUAGCGGUGAAAUGCGUAGAGAUGUGGAGGAACACCAGUGGCGAAGGCGACUCUCUGGUCUGUAACUGACGCUGAGGAGCGAAAGCGUGGGGAGCGAACAGGAUUAGAUACCCGCGUAGUCCCUGUCUCUUAUAC
rnacentral:rRNA from 1 species